ACAUGGGGUAGCUCAGUGGGUAGAUCACGAGACUUUUAAUCCCAGGGUUGUGGGUUUGUGCCCCAUGCUGGGCA